CUAUCACGAUUGACAAAAUUAACCUUGAAUGACUUACCAAGGUUGGAACACAUAUGGAACAAGAAUCCAAGAAUAGCAUUGUGUUUCCCAAACUUAAGGGUACUAAAGGUGCAAGGUUGUGAGAACUUGAGGUUUAUUUUUUCUUCUUCCAUGGCUAAAGCACUCCAACAGAUAAAAGAAAUAAAAGUAGCGAGAUGUAAACUGUUGGAGGAAAUUAUGGAUGUGCAAGAAGAAGAAUCAAAGAAAGCUGCAUCUAUGCACACUUUAGAGUUCCCUCUAUUAUCCUCCUUAUGUCUUGAGGAAUUGCCAAAUCUUAGAACAUUCUCUCAUGGAACACACUGUAUUCACUAUCCAACCUUAACAAGAUUGAGGAUAUUUGGAUGCCCCAAAAUGAUGGCAUUCUCUUCAUUCGAAGGAAAGCAACAGACGAUAACAACUAACGCAGGUUUACAACAAGCAUUUGGUGGUGUCAACUCUAGCUUGUCCUUGCCUAUACUCUUUGAUCAAAAUAUUCUUUUUCCGAGCUUGGAGGAGUUGACCGUUGUGUCGUGUGGGUUGACGAAGAUAUGGCACAAUGAACUUUCUGAAGAAUCAUUCCGCAAACUAGCAUCCAUCACAAUCCAAGAUUGUGAAAAUUUGUCUCAUAUUUUUCCAUCAAAUAUAGUAGAGGUGUUCAGAGCCUAAAAUUGAUUAAGGUGGUGAAUUGUACCUCUUUGGAAUCAUUAAUAGAACAUGUUGCUGUCAAUACUAAGAAAAGGCCAAAAAGUUUGGUCUUCUUAGACUUAAACGAAGUGAAGUUGUGGGACCUGCCGAGGCUGGAUGCUUUAGUGACAAGUAGCUCCCAAGCAACGUUGAGUCUUCCUAGUCUGACUACCGUUAACUUGCGCAAUUGCCACAGUUUGAGAUAUCUCUUCACAUAUGAUACAUCCAGGACUCUUUUUAAACUUGAGAUGGUAGAUGUUUCUGAUUGCAAUAAAAUGCAGGAAGUAGUUGCCAUGGAAGAAAGUGAAGAGCGAAAGUUAAAGGCAGUGAAGUUUUCUCAUUUACAUACAUUGGAGCUUUGUUCCCUUGAGAGCUUGAUUAGUUUCAGCUCAGGAAGUUGUGCAUUUGAGUUUCCCUCCCUCACAAAUCUCUCAAUUAUGGAGUGCACUAAACUCAAGGCAUUCAUACUAAGGCUGCCAAUGCCAAGAGUGGAGACGACAAAUGAGGGAACUGCCGGUUCUGAUGAAAGUCCACAUUCUUUAUUUGACGAGAAGGUUCUUUUUCCAAGCUUGGAGGAAUUGGAUCUUUCGUCCAUGUGCCAACUAAAGAGGAUAUGGCACAAUCAACUCCACGGACAGUCCUUCCGCAAACUUGCUUCC